ACAUCUCAACUCUCGUGGUUUCCCAUGACGAGAUUGGACUUUGGGGGUUUUGUUGGCUUAUGUUCAGCUCCCCUUGAAUUUAUUAGCUUCCCAGUGUUUGGUGGCAUCACAGGUGUGAUAAAUAUCUACGCUUGUGGUUGUUUGCCAGAUCUGUCCUCUCCUCGUGGAGGGCUCGCUGGAGCUCAUAGAUGUCUCCUUGGUGGAGACGGUUGUUUGAA
rnacentral:misc_RNA from 1 species